AGACCUCAAAUAAUGUGUGACUACCCC
rnacentral:rRNA from 1 species